ACCUUGUUGGCGCAGCGGUCAGCGUGUCAGUCUCACAAUCUGUAGGUCGUGAGUUCAACCCUCACACAGGGCA